GAUGAACGCUGGCGGCGUGCCUAAUACAUGCAAGUCGAACGCAUAGCGAAAGGUGCUUGCACCUUUCAAGUGAGUGGCGAACGGGUGAGUAACACGUGGACAACCUGCCUCAAGGCUGGGGAUAACAUUUGGAAACAGAUGCUAAUACCGAAUAAAACUUAGUGUCGCAUGACACAAAGUUAAAAGGCGCUUCGGCGUCACCUAGAGAUGGAUCCGCGGUGCAUUAGUUAGUUGGUGGGGUAAAGGCCUACCAAGACAAUGAUGCAUAGCCGAGUUGAGAGACUGAUCGGCCACAUUGGGACUGAGACACGGCCCAAACUCCUACGGGAGGCUGCAGUAGGGAAUCUUCCACAAUGGGCGAAAGCCUGAUGGAGCAACGCCGCGUGUGUGAUGAAGGCUUUCGGGUCGUAAAGCACUGUUGUAUGGGAAGAACAGCUAGAAUAGGAAAUGAUUUUAGUUUGACGGUACCAUACCAGAAAGGGACGGCUAACUACGUG
rnacentral:rRNA from 1 species